rnacentral:rRNA from 1 species
AAGCGAGCGCAGGCGGUUUAAUAAUGUCUGAAGUUAAAGGCAGUGGCUUAACCAUUGUUCGCUUUGGAAACUGUUAAACUUGAGUGCAGAAGGGGAGAGUGGGAUUCCAUGUGUAGCGGUGAAAUGCGUAGAUAUAUGGAGGAACACCGGUGGCGAAAGCGGCUCUCUGGUCUGUAACUGACGCUGAGGCUCGAAAGCGUGGGGAGCAAACAGGAUUAGAUACCCUGGUAGUCCACGCCGUAAACGAUGAGUGCUAAGUGUUAGGCCCUUUCCGGGGCUUAGUGCCGCAGCUAACGCAUUAAGCACUCCGCCUGGGGAGUACGACCGCAAGGUUGAAACUCAAAGGAAUUGACGGGGGCCCGCACAAGCAGUUGGAGUAUGUGGUUUAAUUCGAAGCAACGCGAAGAACCUUACCAGGUCUUGACAUCCAACUAACGAGGUAGAGAUACAUUAGGUGCCCUUCGGGGAAAGUUGAGACAGGUGGUGCAUGGUUGUCGUCAGCUCGUGUCGUGAGAUGUUGGGUUAAGUCCCGCAACGAGCGCAACCCUUGCUAUUAGUUGCUACGCAAGAGCACUCUAAUAGGACUGCCGUUGACAAAACGGAGGAAGGUGGGGACGACGUCAAAUCAUCAUGCCCCUUAUGACCUGGGCUACACACGUACUACAAUGGACGUCAACAGAGGGAAGCAAAACAGCGAUGUGGAGCAAACCCCUAAAAACGUUCUCAGUUCAGAUUGCAGGCUGCAACCCGCCUGCAUGAAGUCGGAAUUGCU